GCAGCUGUGGCGGAAUAGGCAGACGCGCUAGAUUCAGGUUCUAGUGGGCAACCGUAGGGGUUCAAGUCCCCUCAGCUGUA
rnacentral:tRNA from 1 species